UACAGAGGGUGCGAGCGUUAAUCGGAAUUACUGGGCGUAAAGCGCGCGUAGGCGGCUUACUAAGUCAGAUGUGAAAGCCCCGGGCUUAACCUGGGAACUGCAUCUGAUACUGGUAAGCUCGAGUGUGGGAGAGGAAAGUAGAAUUCCAGGUGUAGCGGUGAAAUGCGUAGAGAUCUGGAGGAAUACCGAUGGCGAAGGCAGCUUUCUGGCCUAACACUGACGCUGAGGUGCGAAAGCGUGGGUAGCAAACAGG
rnacentral:rRNA from 1 species